CCUCCGCAAUGUGAGAAAUCGCGACGGGGGGACCCCAAGUGCCAUUCUUAACGGGAUGGCUUUUCUUGAGUGUAAAAAGCCCUUGGAAUGAGAGCUGGGCAAGACCGGUGCCAGCCGCCGCGGUAACACCGGCAGCUCUAAUGGUAGCCAUUUUUAUUGGGCCUAAAGCGUUCGUAGCCGGUCUGAUAAGUCUCUGGUGAAAUCCUACAGCUUAACUGUGGGAAUUGCUGGAGAUACUAUUAGACUUGAGGUCGGGAGAGGUUAGAGGUACUCCCAGGGUAGGGGUGAAAUCCUGUAAUCCUGGGAGGACCACCUGUGGCGAAGGCGUCUAACUGGAACGAACCUGACGGUGAGGGACGAAAGCUAGGGGCGCGAACCGGAUUAGAUACCCGCGUAGU
rnacentral:rRNA from 1 species